rnacentral:rRNA from 1 species
UACGUAGGGGGCAAGCGUUGUCCGGAAUCAUUGGGCGUAAAGCGCGCGUAGGUGGCCCGGUAAGUCCGCUCUGAAAGUCAAAGGCUCAACCUUUGAAAGCGGGUGGAUACUGCCGGGCUAGAGUCCGGAAGAGGCGAGUGGAAUUCCUGGUGUAGCGGUGGAAUGCGCAGAUAUCAGGGGGAACACCAACGGCGAAGGCAGCUCGCUGGGACGGUACUGACGCUGAGGAGCGAAAGCGUGGGGAGCAAACAGG